rnacentral:lncRNA from 10 species
GGAGGUUACUUUCUGCAAUACGUGUAGAGGGUAACUGUUCUCCAGUGCUUAUCUUUGAACUCUUAUUAAUUUAGUGUUUGAUUCACUAUAGUGAACAAAACUGUUCUUUACCUUGAAUCAAACACAAAGAAUGUAGAAUUCAUUACCUGGCGAUAUCCUAUCAGUUCAGAAUACUCCAUAAAGUCUCUACAUUUGAAAAAAGGGCUCACUGGCAGACAAAACUCAGCGCUUUAUUUCCUUUGUAGAUGUUGAUGCAGGUAAGUGGCAUUGGGACAGUAUGACGUGUUUCAUGAUGACAGUCACGCUCUGCUUGGUGACCUCUGACCUCCCUCUUCAGGGGCUCUGGAGGUUAACAUUUUUGUACAUCCACACCGGAAAGAAUGUACUCAAGAGUAGAAAAUGUGGGAGGAAUUUAGUGAAUGAAUAGAACUUAGCGGGCAGAGAAAAUAACUAGGUAAUUUUGUCCACCAAAAACCCCAAUUACCAGUUAUUUACAGCCCACUGGUCUGCAACUUCGGUUGCCUAAUCAGACAUUCAUAUAAGUGCAGUCCCUUGCUCAAACAGUAAUCCCUUGUCUUGACUGACUCUCAGACAAGGAAGAGCAGGCAGAGGAGAUUGUAAAGCAGAAGCAAAGUAGUUGAAAGCCACUGAGAGUGGUUGAGGACAUGGGUGGGUUCACAUCUGUAAUGUGUUGGAAGCUGAAUACAGCUGUUUGGCACUUUCAACAGGCAGUGACCAUGAAUGGGAUGUCCUGCCUCCAGGGCAGUGCAAACAGGCCUCCAGCCAGACAGCCAUCUCGCUCUCCUUUUCCUCCAGCUGUGUCUGCAGAAGGGUCCCGAGUAGCAUCCUGUAGUUCCAACCUGCUUACUCCUUAGGACUAGGAAACAAGAAAAUCACUGCUAACCCCACUCCAAACUUGCCUGAUUUCAGAGCUCAGUAUCAUUCUGCAGUUUGCAGUCACACUGGGAGGGUCUUUUUCUCGUAUAUGAGAAGGAGGACAGAAUGUUGGAAGGGAACGCUCCUCGACAGAUGGGAAUGAGAGUGGUGUGAGUAACUAACUGGAGGCAAUAAAGGUGUUAGCAAACAGCAGGAGGGAAGAGUGGGCCCCACCGAUCACUGGCUGUCCCGCAUGCUGUGUGUUGUACCAGUGCCAGUGGGAGCUGCCUAUCCAAGCCUUGGUAUUAACAGCAUGUGACUCUGGCAGAUUCACAAUGUCCUCAUUGGCUUUGUCAGUAUGACAAGCUUUGACUGAGUCCCUAUCCAACUGAGGGGCCACCAUCCCCGUCACCCUCCUUUCUGAUGCCUUUUCUCCUGAUCAUCCCUUCUUCUUCCUUCUUCUUUGUCUGGCUUCUUUUGUUCUUCCUUUUUCUGUCCCUCACUCCUCCUUACAUUAUAUUCCCAGCUUCCUUUGGGAUUUUUGUUUUAACAUAAGGAGAACCUUACCAUCGAUGUCAAGCUCAGCAUGAUAUAACCAAUUACCCUAAAACCACAGCCAUCUAGCCUUAUCUUGUAUUAAAAAAAAAAAAAAGAAAAAAAAACAGAUGUUGCCUAUAAUUGUAUAUCUGCUCAGGUUUAAACAUAAAUUGCAGUGAGAAUUCUUAAGGCAAGAAUACCAUUGAACCAAAAUACGUUAUAACAGAAAGGGGUCUCAGAUGCUUAUUACCUCCUCCCAACUGUAUUUCAUUUUACAACAAAGCAAAUCACAGCUUGGAAAAGUUAAAUGAGUUCCUAAGGUUCCACAAUAAAUAAGGGCGAAGGGGCCACUACUUAGGACCCAGAUCUCCUGAUCCCUAUCUAGUGAUUUUUUUUACUUCAUGAAUUUUAAUGUAAAAAAAGAAAAAGAAGCCACAGAUCCUCUAGACCCUUAUGCAAUAUAGGGAAAUAUUCCUUAACCCCAAUCGUGCUUUAAUCCUUCUUCUACUGAAACAAAUACAGCUAAUGAAUUAGAGAUGCUCUUUUGUUCUCCUGUUAACUAUCUGACCUUAAGGAAGUCACUCAACCAAUUGGUUCUCAGUAUUCUCUUUCCACACUGAGGGAAGUGGACAGAUAAUCUAUGGUUGCUUCCAGCUCCAAAAUUCAGUGACCCUUUAAGCUUAACUUCUUUCACCAGAAUACCUGUCAUUUCUAGGUAAAUAGUGUUCUCAGUCCUUUCUGUUAAAAGAGGUUAAGUAAAUAAAAAGGAAAGAUCAGGCUAUGCUUUUGGCCUAGAUUAUAACUUUGUGACCAAGGAUGAAGGAAUUUAAUAGCAAUAAGAAAGCUUCCAGGGUCUACCAUUUACAAUUUAAAUACUUUACUUGGGAGGUUAAAAGUUCAAAGUUGAGUCACAGUCUGAGGUGGCUCUGCUCUUCCUUUUUAAUUAUCUGAGGUCAGGAAGUUAAUAAUACGAGAAAUCCCCAGCGGAGACCUCUUGUGCACUGUGUGAACUUUAAACUUGCUCAUUUUUUUCUUAAGGGUAAAAAGUUCAGCAGAAACACAGUGGACUUUUCCUCUUAGCCUCCACCCAUUCAUCCCCCAAGGUCAAAAGUUGAACUGUAAAACAGAAACCCUUGUUCUCUGAUCCACAUUUAAACAGAUCACUUAUUAAAAGGUAAACAUUCCACAUGCAAGCCAAAGUUCCAAGUGAAUCUGCUCAAUAAAAAUAAAAAAACUGUAAUAAAGUCUUUGAUCUUUUCCACUUGUCUUAGAAUUGAACAACAGAAUUUAUUUUCUCGUUUUUUGAAUCUCAGAGAAGGGGCAGUCAUAUAAGCUCUUUCCUCACCUACCUCUGCCCUGAGAUUGGCAUAUCUAAAAGAGAUAAACCUAAGAUAUUUUAAAAUAGUCAGAUUUGGAGCCUUACCUUAAGGCAAUUUCUUCAACUAAUUCUACGCCAUUUAUGUUUGUUUAUUUGUUUUGCUCAAACAGGAAUUCAAGAACAGCAAAUGUGAUUUAAAUCAGAGAUAUAAAGUACUACAGAAUAAAAAGGAGUUUGCUGAAAAUGGUAGAGGAUGCUGUAUUAGUCCGUUUUGCUGCUGAUAAAGACAUAUCUGAGACUGGGCAAUUUACAAAAGAAAGAGGUUUAGUGGACUUACAGUUCCACUUGGCUGGGGAAGCCUCACAAUCAUGGUGGAAGGUGAUAGGCAUGUCUCAUAUGGAUGGCACAGGCAAAAAAAAAAAAAUGCUUGGGCAGGGAAACUUCCUCUUAUAAAACCAUCGGAUCUCGUGAGACUUAUUUACUAUCAUGAGAACAGCAUGGGAAAGACCUCCCACCAGGUCCCCCCGACCCACCACAACACGUGGGAAUUUAAUAUGAGAUUUGGGUGGGGACAAAACCAAACCAUAUCAGAUGCAGAGAAAAUAAAGAAAUGGAUGAAUAUAUCCAAUGAACCUCAUAUGAAUAAUGAAUGGAAAAUAUCUGAGAUCUUCACAGUGUUAAAGCUCAAACAAGAAGUGAAAUAAAUAGCUACAGAGCUCCAAAUAAGUAUUUAAUGAUAGUGACAAGACUCACUUUCUUGAAGUAAUGAUGGCAAACUUUAAAAGUAUGGAAAAGCCAUUGACCGAAUACUAACCCAAUCCAAUCAGCAUGCUUAGGAAAACUCCCUGAGAUGAUCACAUGAAGCUGUUAUUUCAUGCAACCCAUGUGUCCGUUUUUUUCAAUGUGUACUUAUUGGAAAUGCUUUCACUUGUUUAAACAAGUCCUACCUGUGACUCAAUAUUUGUUUAAAAACUUUUUAAGAAAGCAUCUUUGUCACCGUUUAUCUAUCUAAAUGCGAAUAAUACCACUUGCUUCCCACCUUAAUAAUUUUUGUAAAGAUUCUCAUUAGAGAAUACUUAAGCACAGAAAACGGUAAGAGCCUUGAAAUUAAGAUAUACAAUGAACACGUUUAUAAUAAAUACUUUUCACUGAUGUCAGUUUCGACAGUGUCAUUUAAGUUUAAACGACUUUGUGAUCACUUCUAACACAAAUCAAAACUAGAAGAUAUGGCUCUAAGUAAGUUGUGUUCUAGAUCCAUUUACACUGUGAGUAACAUUCACGACACCCUCUGGGACUCCUGGAUGCAGCUGGUGACCCAGACCCAGGAAUGACACAGCCAGGAAGGAAGUGAGGAAGGUGCACAGAGCUACUUCCUCUUGUUAGAACUCCCCUCUCAACAGCUGUAAGGAAGAAUGGAAAUUCCCUAUGAAUCAAAGUGUGACUUCGAAGUAUGGGAUACAAUUUGAGAGACCUGAUCAUAUUGAUUAGGAUGUUGACCAAAAGGAAGUCACUGCAUUUCAUUUGGACACUACUCAGACAUUUAAGCUGGUAUGACAUUCAUGAGAAACUUCUGGUUUCAAUUCAUCUUUUUCCCAUGAAUAUUUAUGUUCCUUUUUUUUAAUCUUUAAGUCAGUUCAUGAUAUUCAAGCUAGUUAUUUCCAACCUUCUGUCUGACUGAAUUCUGUAUUAAAUCUUUCUUUGUUUCCCCCCUGCAAAACAGGUUAAUUCAUGAGAGGCUAUUAUAUAGCAAGGACCAUGCUGCCAUGCUGUCUGUGUUCUGGGCAUAUGUACCCUCAAAGUCCUCAUAGGAUAGAAAUAGUACUAAAUCUGUAUACAAUGAACUGGACACAACAAUGUGGGGACUAUACUACAAAUACUAUGAACAAAGUGCCGGGAGAACCCUGAGUCUUUGCCAUGUUCUUUGAUGCCUUUGUGCCUUACACAUUCUGAUCCCGCCACCUAAAAUAAUCCUCUUGUCCUUCAUCCCUGGGACCCUGUACUCUGCCUCAGUGCUUCUCUUCCUACACACUUCACCUCCCCUUGCCUCUCUGAAUGUAAGUGUCUCUUCCACAGCAAUCUGUGCAAAGACUAACACCAGAGUAACUAUCUUACAGUAUUGUAACACUUAGCUAAUUUUUCUGCCUCCAACAAUAAAUUCUGAUCUAUUUGAGGAAGUGAACUCCAAUACCAUUCUCAAGGAAGUCCUUUUUUAGAAAUAUAGACUGAAACCUGACAGAAAAGGGAUUCAGUGUAUAUCCUAAAGGAUGGCAUAGGAGAG